UACGGGGGGGGUAAGCGUUGUUCGGAAUUACUGGGCGUAAAGGGCUCGUAGGCGGCCAACUAAGUCAGACGUGAAAUCCCUCAGCUUAACUGGGGAACUGCGUCUGAUACUGGAUGGCUUGGAUUCGGGAGAGGAAUGCGGAAUUCCAGGUGUAGCGGUGAAAUGCGUAGAUAUCUGGAGGAACACCGGUGGCGAAGGCGGCAUCCUGGACCAAUACUGACACUGAGGAGCGAAAGCCAGGAGAGCAAACGGG
rnacentral:rRNA from 1 species